rnacentral:rRNA from 1 species
GUUCACAACCAUAUCACAUUGAAUGCACCGGUUCUUGUCCGAUGACCGAAGUUAAGCAACAUCGAGCAUAGUGUCUACUUAAGAUGGUUGACCAUUUGGGAAAGCUAGGUGUUGUAAGCU